rnacentral:lncRNA from 1 species
AUGGCUGGAGCUGUGCCGAUCCAAAGCCAGAAGCCAGGAGCUUCUUCCGGGUCUCCCACGUGGGUGCAGGGGCCCAAGGACUUGGGCCAUCUUCCACUGCUUUCCCAGGCCAUAGCAGAGAGCUGGAUCAGAAGUGGAGCAGCCGGCUCUCAAGCCAGCGCCCAUAUGGGAUGCCGGUGCUGCAGGAGGUUGCUUGACCCACCACAACACAGCGCCGCCCCAGUGGUCAGAGUUUUAAAGCAGCUGACUCCAUUUGUUCAACAUAGGGUGAGAUGGCUCCUGGUUUCAGCCUGGAGUGGAUUAUACUAAACUGCUAAGAUUCGGAGAUCAUUCCUGACAUAAACGCUGGCAGAAAACCUGAAAUUUUGCUGUCUUUCAUUUAAGAGUGGAGGCCACCUUGCUGUUGACUAAUCCCUCAAUUACACCCCAAGUGUCCCUACAGAUUUAAGAAACUGAAAUGAGGACUUUGUUCUUUGUCUUGUCAGCACAUGUGUAAAUACUUCAUCCCACUAAGAUCUUUCAAAAAGGUGUUCAGUAUGAUGAAAGAAAUCUCACUAAUAGGACACAUGCAUAUGCCCCCGAUGUUGGACAAGUCACUCCACCAUACGCAAGUUAGCCCAGUGUUCCAUACAAAAUUGCUUCAUGCCAAACUUGAUUUAGCCCUCAUUUCUUGAAUGUGCAAGUAACUGCGCAUGAUGGACUCUGAAAAUACGAUGUGCAGCCUUUCCUGACCUUUGCAGACUGAAGUGAUCAUGAAAACACCAAGAGCAUCAGAACUUCUGCUUAGAAAUAAUGUAAGGCUGAACUGUAGGAAAGACGAGACAAAAAGAAAAAGAAAAGCCAGUGACACUCAUUCUAUCUUUAUUGAAAAUUGUGACAUUGUGUUCCCUGUAGAUAUUUUUGCAUUAAUUUUGAUGGAUCAAAAUGCUGCAUUAAAUAUUAGUUGUCUUGACGGCUGGGUUUUUGGUGCCCCCUGAUGUUCCACAGCCAAGGCAAGCGAGGCAGCCUGUCUCAGCAGUGAGCUGGAUGUGGCCGUCUAGAUGUGGCCGUCCAGAUCCUUCUCCCUCCGGAAGCUCCACUGAGAUCACGUAAAAGGAUACUGCGAAGCAAGAAGUGGAGAAGAUGCUGGCAAGUGGAAGGGGGAUGGGAAAUUGGUACCUGACUUGCAGAUGGAGAAGCCUCCCCAGGCGGCAGAGACAACUUGAAAACCUACCUUUUUUUUUUUUUUUAAGAUUUAGUUUAUUUAUUUGAAAAACAGAGUUACAGAGAGAGGUAGAGACAGAGAGAGAGAGAGGCCUUCCAUUCAUUG